rnacentral:rRNA from 1 species
UACGUAGGUGGCAAGCGUUGUCCGGAUUUAUUGGGUUUAAAGGGUGCGUAGGCGGCCCUGUAAGUCAGUGCUGAAAUAUCCCAGCUUAACUGGGAGGGUGGCAUUGAUACUGCGGGGCUAGAGUACAGAUGAGGUAGGCGGAAUUGACGGUGUAGCGGUGAAAUGCUUAGAUAUCGGCAAGAACACCUAUAGCGAAGGCAGCUUACUAGGCUGUAACUGACGCUGAGGCACGAAAGUGUGGGGAGCAAACAGG